rnacentral:rRNA from 1 species
GACGAACGCUGGCGGCGUGCCUAAUACAUGCAAGUAGGACGCAGUUGCGAACGGGUGAGUAACGCGUAGGUAACUACCUAUCAGAGGGGGAUAACUAUUGGAAACGAUAGCUAAUACCGCAUACUAGUAGAUGGACCUGCUUUGUAUUAGCUAGUAGGUAGGGUAAUGGCCUACCUAGGCAACGAUACAUAGCCGACCUGGUGGGGUGAUCGGCCACCCUGGGACGUAGAAAAGGCCCAGACUCCGUCGGGAGGCAGCCGUAGGGAAUCUGCGGCAAUGGGGGGAAACCUGACCGAGCAAAGCCGCGGGAGUGAAGAAGGUUUUCGGAUCGUAAAGCUCUGUUGUUAAGGAAGCGGUACUUAACCAGAAAGGGACGGCUAACUACGUGCCAGCAGCCGCGGUAAUUC